rnacentral:rRNA from 1 species
GCAAGAAAAGUGGCGCACGGGUGCGUAACGCGUAUGCAACCUACCUUAAUCAGGGGGAUAGCCCGAAGAAAUUCGGAUUAACACCGCAUAAAAACACAGGAUAGCAUUAUCCAAUGUUCAAAUAUUUAUAGGAUUAAGAUGGGCAUGCGUGUCAUUAGCUAGUUGGCGGGGUAACGGCCCACCAAGGCGACGAUGACUAGGGGAUCUGAGAGGAUGACCCCCCACACUGGUACUGAGACACGGACCAGACUCCUACGGGAGGCAGCAGUAAGGAAUAUUGGUCAAUGGAGGCAACUCUGAACCAGCCAUGCCGCGUGCAGGAAGACAGCCCUCUGGGUCGUAAACUGCUUUUAUUCGGGAAUAAACCUAUUUACGUGUAAAUAGCUGAAUGUACCGAAGGAAUAAGGAUCGGCUAACUCCGUGCCAGCAGCCGCGGUAAUACGGAGGAUCCAAGCGUUAUCCGGAUUUAUUGGGUUUAAAGGGUGCGUAGGCGGCUUAUUAAGUCAGGGGUGAAAGACGGUGGCUCAACCAUCGCAGUGCCCUUGAUACUGAUGAGCUUGAAUACACUAGAGGUAGGCGGAAUGUGACAAGUAGCGGUGAAAUGCAUAGAUAUGUCACAGAACACCGAUUGCGAAGGCAGCUUACUAUGGUGUGAUUGACGCUGAGGCACGAAAGCGUGGGGAUCAAACAGGAUUAGAUACCCUGGUAGUCCACGCCCUAACGAUGAAUACUCGCUGUUAGCGAUACACAGUUAGCGGCUAAGCGAAAGCGUUAAGUAUUCCACCUGGGGAGUACGCUCGCAAGAGUGAAACUCAGG